CCCCUCCCAUGUUUGUUCACAGAUUCAGCAAUUUGUCUUUUACUUUGGAGGUAAUGGCCAGUGGACUCCUAAAUAUUUCACUGUACUAGCAGGUCCUGAGUCUUUGUAGAGUUCAUCUUCCACCCUUUGGAGCAUGUAUCUAACCAAGGCUUCUAGCAUACUGGCCACCUCUUCCUCUUUUGUCCAGUCAUCAUGAUUUUAUUGAUGUGAUGAAUCAGGGUGGUGUUCUGAGGGACUCAUAGGUGAUUCAGACCUUUUCAGACAAAAUUAUGGCAAAGGGUAAGAGUGUUACCAUAGCCCCAAGACAAAAUCGGAGAUCAAUAUUAUUGUCUAUUUCAUCUGAAUUCAAACCUUUUCUGAUCUUCUUUCCUAAUUGGAAUGGAAAAGAAUAUGUUGUCCAAAUCAAUGGCUAAAAACUAGGUACCUGAAGUUUUAUUAAUCUGCUUAGCACAGUAUCACAUCUGGCACAGUAACUAUAAUCAUCAGGUUUACUACUUGAUUAAGUCUGUAAUAGUACACAGUUAUUCUCCAGGACCCAGCUGGUUUCUGCACGGACCACAUUGGUCAUCAUGAGUGAAGUCUUGAGCCACUGAGCCACUACCACCUUGUGCCAAAUACUAUCUGUGCCCUGCCUGCCAACCAGGAUGACAACCCUUCACCUGCCAGGUGGAGAGAGACAGCAGCAGGCUAACUAGUUGUCUGUUAAGAACAUCCAGAGCAGGACCAGAAUCUGGGCCAGGAACUGAGAGACAGAUUGGGACAACGGAACAAAUCUACCAGGGUAUGCUGGCCAACUUAGUCUUCUAUUAUGAUCAAGGAAGGAUGGCGCCUGAGAGGUCAUUACUAUGUGACUGGUCUUCAUAUAUUGCUUCUAUGUUUGAUUCUUCCUCCAGAAAUGUUUCAAUAGCAAACUCAAUGAGUUUACGUAGCCAGAAUCUUAGUCAAUAACCUACUCUGCAGUAUCUUAGGGCUGACUUUGUACAUAUGGAAGUCAGCCAGAUCUCAUGAGUGGAUCAUUAAGCUAGAAUUAUUUUCUUGGCACACGUUACAGUAAGGUAAUAUAUGACCUAGGCCUAAGGCAGGCCAUCAACCUGUCAAGAGUAAUGACCCCCAGGGGUAAGGCCUUGCUGUCUCCACCUCAAGGAUGGGUCUUCAAAGUGGAGACAAUAUAGUCCCUAUGGUUUCUACAUGCUUAAUGAGUCUGUUAUGUGAAUUAUAAAGAUAAUAUCUAUGGGGACUUUGAGCUCCUACAAUAAAAAUGUAUAAAUAUAAUCCAAGAAAUUCUGGUAGACAAACAUUGUAAUAAUGCAUAUCAGUCUUUGUAUCUCCAUUUAGUUUUUUUAAAACUUGGCUUGUGUCCAGAAGUAUGCACAGAUAUACAUAGCAAAUGCUCAGUGCUGAAUGUUUAGCUAAAUCCUGUGCUUCAAAGCAAGGAUGAAUAGAUUUUCAUCAGAGCUCAGGACCUGAACUGUAGGCUUCCCUCACAAUGAGAAGUAAAGCUAAGUAUAGGUGAAUCCUGAGUGGCACAUAUUCUAUGAGAGUUUUAUACAUAAUUUGAAUGAUUGAUAUGCUGCAUCUUUCAUUGAAAUGAUUGUCAACCAAUAUUAUUUCAAGUGUUAUUUCCAUGCUAUUUCUAGUUCUGUAUGUUUUACGUAAUUAUAAAUGGCUUCAUAUUUUCAUGUAACAUUGUAUGAUAUGAUUUGGGUUCUAACAGGUUAUCCUUGACACCAGUAUAGAAUACCCAGAAUUAAUUUAAGGUAUAUUAUCAAACCACUAAAAUUAGGAUGUCCAUGAAUUCUGAAGGAGAAAAUAUCAUUUAGAUUGUGUGUGUGUGUGUGUGUGUGUGCGCGUGUGUGUGUGUCCUCUAAGUUUUAAACAUGAGGUGGUUAUAUAAAGGGGACUUCUAAAUUGGGAGAGGAUGAAAAUGGGCUAAAUAUUUCAAACAAACUUCAGUGUGAAAUCAGUAGUAUAUUCAGUAGAGGUGACAGGGAAAAAAGCUGUGGAGGAGAAAAGAGAACAAGAAAAUCAGGAAGCAGUAAAAAUGAUGACUGAGGUCAGGUGGUAAUGGUAACAUCAAGAAACUUGAAUCUGAUGGAAAAAAACCACGGGUAGCUAUAAAAGGGGCAUUCGAAAUAGGAAAUGAUGUGAGAGGAGAAGAUAAUUUUAGUAUAGUUAAAGGAGGUAGCAGCUAUAGGUGUGAAGAGAACGGAUUAAUUUUAAAUGUGUCCCAGAAGUAAGAGAAAUAUUUUUUUGAGGAGUGGGGGAGGAACAAUGAGAUAAACCUGGUUGAGUGUUUUAUGGUUAUCUCAAGUAAGAGUCCACUUGGAGUAUUAUGUCCAUUUUUGGACACCAUACUUUCAUAGGCAUGUUGAUGAACCAGGUCAUUCAAGACACCAGGGUAGUGAGAAGUGUGUUAAUAGUGCUUCUACCAGAGAGUUAGAGUGACAUGGCAGCUGUCCUCAUAUCUAUCGAUCUGUCAUAAGGAAGAAAGAUCACAUGCCUCUGCAUUGUUUAAAAGAAAGAAACAGACCCAAAGAAAGUCAGGAGGCAGAUUUUGCUCAAUAUAAUGAUCUAACAAUUAGAUGUGCCCUGUAACAGAGUGCGCUAUUGUAAAGUAAUGUUCUCCCAUCUUUCCAAGUAUUCAAGCAGAGAAUAGUCAAUAAUACAACUAACGACUGGAAGGGUUUCUUUUAUUCUAAGGUACUAUCAGAUGGAGGAACAUGUAGUUUGUGGUCAGUGACCUCAGGUUCUCACAUUCACGGUGCUGCAUCCUGGUUUUCAUUUGGGGACUGUUUUCUGGCACUCCCGCCUGUCUGGAGGUGAGAUAUGCUUGUUAUGACAACCCUUCUGUCACAAUAAAUUGGCUGGUGCAUUCAGUGUCAUCUAUGGCUUUUUACUUCUAUUAAUUCAUUAAUUCCGGGCCCCCAAGCGAAAGUUUCCAAAGGCCUUUUUUCUUCUUUGUUAAUUAUAACAUGAUAUCAAUCAGCACCCAAGCAGAAACUAGAAGAGUAUUCAAACUAGGUAAUUUGAGGAGAGUUUAAUAAAGCAACAGCUUACAAAGAUGUGGACAGUGGCUUAAGGAAGCCACUAAAGGAUGGCACAGUCCUCCAGGCUUGUGAUCAGGGGAGUCAUUACCAUCCCCCAGCCUGAAGAUCAAGAGGCUGGAGCUAUUUCCAGACCCUGAAGAGGGUGGUUGUAUGGAGAGGACUAUCUGAAAGAAGAGGCUGUAGCCAACACAAGAAAGCCAGGGAAUAAAUAAUCCAUCCUCACUCUCCUGCUGUUGCCUCUCAAUGGCCAAACCCAACCAUGAGCUGGGCAUGAAGGGAGCUAGCUGACAGCUAUAUGGCUCAGCUUCCUGGGGCCCAGAGCAGAGUGGAGCUGAGAAGAGAGUGAAUCUGGAGGGGUUAAUGGAAGAAACCACAGAAAGCAAAUUCCUCCCUGAGAUACAGUUGGUGCUUAGGCAAUAUUUGUACUGACAGGAAUGUGGCCACAUAUUUUGGAAAAGCUCAGGGACUCAAUCCUCUGCUAGCUGCUUUGAGGCCAUGUCUGCCGAAGUCACUGUCCUCUACAGGGUUUUUUCCUCAUGUUCAGUGUUUAGUCCUUUCCACCUUCACGAAAACGAUGCCUACUUAAUAUACAGAAAGGAGGACAUACAGAAAUUUUUCAUCUUAAUUGGAUAUUACAGUUGCCCCACUUUGGAGCCAAGAAGAGCUGAAUAAAGCUGAGAAACACCUAAACAGAAAGGAUGCUCAAUAAAGGAAUGUAGAAGAAUGUUGGGAGAGAAGCAUUCUCACCUAUUUCUGAUCUUAACAGGCAGCAUUGCCAGCCAUCACUCCAUGGAUCCUCUCAUCUGGAAGUGCUCCACUUCAGAAAUCUUAGAUUCCAAGAUCCACUCUCAGAAAACAACCUCCAGACAUUUCUGCCGUCCACACAGUUGCUUCUUCUCCCUCUGGCGCACGGCCACCUGUGCUAUCUGCAGCCUCACCGGCAUUCCCUGGCCUCGCCCUCUGCACUUCAUCCUGACAGGCAUGGAGUCUCCUCCUGUCACCCCAGAGCUAUGUGGUGUCUUGAUUAGGUGACUUUGCCCAUGUUGUCAUUCAACUUAAUAUUUAUUGAUCUAUCUCUGUGAGAAUCACUUGGCUGGCCCUUUCGUCUGGAGUGUCAGCCUCCUCUCACCUGCCCCCAGGAGGCUUCCUCCUUCUUCUUUUAACUGCUUGCACAUCUUUAAGACUCAGCCUUGGAGACACGUCUUUUAAAAAGCCUUGAAUGGGCCUGGGAAGUGGCUCACACCUGUAAUCCCAGCACCUUCAGAGGCCAAAGUGGGAGGAUCACUUGAGGCCAGGAGUUCAAGACUAGCCUGGACAACAUGGUGAAAGCCCGUCUCUACUAAAAACACAAAAAUUAACCGGGUAUGAUGGCACACACCUGUAAUCCCAGCUACUCAGGAGCCUGAGGCAUGAGAAUCACUUGAACCUGGGGAGGCUGCAGUGAGCCAAGAUUGAACACCACUGCUCUCCAGCCUGGGCAACAGAGCAAGACUCUGUCUCAAGAAAAAAAAAAAAAAAGAUACCUUCUCUGACCACUCCCUCUAUUCUUCCCUUUCCCAUAACACUAAGUCAUAUGCGCCCAAAACAAUUUGUGCACAUCUCCAUCAGUGAGUGGUUUUCCAUGAUGGUCAUCCUCCCCGACUAGGCUGGUGUAUUCUAGUGUGCUCACCUUUGGGGGUCUCUACUACUGAUUAUUUGCAAGACCUAAGGCAACUUAUUUCACUUUGUAAGCUUCUGUUUCCUCAACUACAAAACCAGGUUAUUAAUAGAAAUUGUAUGUAAGGAACCUAGCACAAUGCUUGAUAUACAGUAAGUGCAAAGUAUGUUAAAUGUUUAAUAAAUUAAUGUCAUAGGAACACCAUUAGAAAACUCCUUAAAAGAAAAAUAUUUAUUUUUUAAGCACUUGUAGGGACAAGGAGCUUGUCCCCUUGUUUGAUAAUUCUAUUUAUAGUGUAACUGAAGCCAUCGUAGUUUGACUCACACUAGUUUUAUUGACAAAAAUGAGUGCCCUCUGCCCCUACUCCCAGUGUCCCCUGUUCUGCUAAAGAAUCUUGAGACUCUCUCAAGGUGCUCUGUCAUGUGUAUUCAGAAACUGGUCCCUCUGGGGCAAAGCUGUUCUCAGCUGGUGCCUGUGGCUGCCACCACUGCUGUGGCCUGAGGACAGAAGUCAUAACCCUCCUCUGCUUUGCCUCAGGGGUUGGUUGUGGACCUUUCCCCUUAAUUCCUCUCAGGACAUCAGAAGUCAAAAUAUUUGAGACACUGAUCAGAUCACAAUAAAGGUUCAGGGACAAUGGAAAGGAAACAGAAAACAGAGAAUAAGUCAGUGCCAGGCACAGGUCCUUCCCCCUCCAGGAGGAAGUGCCCUGGGGACUCAACAGUCACCUUUCCUGGGAAAUCCAGUCAGACUGACUCUAGUCCCAGCAUUCUGAUUUCCCGCCCCAUGACUGACCUCUUCUGAGGACAGCUGGCAGUGAGCAGUUCCAGUCCCUUCAGGGGAAACCCCACCUGCAUAAUCUCAGGGUGAUUCAUCGCCAGUGCAAUUCCCCAAAGCCCCAUCAUUCAGUCUUGCCUGUUGCCACUCUGUUGAUCAUGAAAAUCGUGGCUACCACAUCUAGUUUACUAAACAAUCCUUGUUCGUAGGAAGUACAGGCGUGAAAUAAUUUAUUUUUCUACAGUCACUUGCCUUCAGUUCUGCCAUGUUCACGAUCUCUCUGCUGAGUUCCCUGACAAUAUCUUGGUUAGAUCUCUAGGGUUCCAGUCACUUUCAAAGAUUAACAGCCCGAUUCGGUAUAGUCUGUGAACGCUGAAGGUCUGAGACAGGGCUCGGUUAAUUUAGAAAGUUUAUUUUGCCAAGGUUGAGGAUGCACCCAUGACACAGCCUCAGGAAGUCCUGAAGACAUGUGCCCAAUGUGGUCGGGGCACAGCUUGGUUUUAUACAUUUUAGGGAGACAUGAGACAUCAAUCAACAUAUGUAAGAAGUACAUUGGUUCCAUCUGGAAAGGCAGGACGACUUGAAGUAAAGGCAGGAAGACUCGAAGCGGGGAGGGAGCUUCCAGGUCACAGAUAGCUGAUACACAAACGGUUACAUUCUUCUGGAUUUCUGAUUAGCCUUUCCAAAGGAGGCAAGUCAGAUAUGAAUCUAUCUCAGUGAGCAGAGGGGAGACUGCGAAUAGAAUGCGAGACACGUUUGCCCUAAGCAGUUUCCAGCUUGAGUUUUCCUUAGUGAUUUUGGAAGCCCAAGAUAUUUUCCUUUCGCAAGUCCAAUUUAAAGCUUCCGUCUGGGUCCAAUGCAAUGACCAAUGUCCACUCCGCCAGCCCUGGCCAGCCCCCACCAGAGGGACUCAGGGUGUGGAGUAGCACACCUGCUCCGGCAGCAUCCUCCUCUAUUCUGUGCAGUCCUCCCAUCUGUGUGGACUAGUGAGGAGGAACAGGAGAGACAGACAAGUGUUUCUCACCUGCCUGGCCAGGGCUGGCAGCUGGUGGCAGACAUCCAAAUACUGGCUUCCUCACUGAUGCUUAUGUGAAUUUUCCAGAAGCCCCACAGAUGCCUCCCACUUCACAGUCUCUACCAUCUGCUCCUACCCUUGGUGAUUCACCCCACUGGUUUUUAUUGUUGUUGUUGUUACCAGGGUCCACUUUCCUGGCAGCCAGUUCUCUUGGGUGGGAUAUGGGUGAGACAGGCUCAAGGCUGGCUGCUUUCUAUGCGUUCCUUUGAUCUGUGAAAUCACACUUCCAUCACCAAAUGCUAAAUGGUAGGCAUGGGAGCUGCAGCACUCUACCCUUUCUCUCUGCCUCCUUCCAAUUCUCUUUUCUACUUGUCACAUUGGACAGAGGUGGGCCAGGCCGUCUACGUAUAAGCAGACAUCAAAUUGGUGAGUGAGGAGGGAGCAGGAAAAGCACCUCCUCACUCUGCAGCCCCCCCAAGGAAGCAGAUGACUCACCAACAGUCUCUCCUCUUGCCCCGAUCUGUUUAUAUGGACUGGAAGCAGGUGGUAGAGAUGAAGAUUAGGGAAGCAGAGGAAGUUCAGCCACUUCUUAACCAGCCCUGAAAGGGAUUCCUGAUCCCCAUUCAUUUACUUUUCUUAAUUGUUUGCUCCUUGACACUUCUUUGCCUCAGCUUUGGAUUCCAGUUGUCAAUUCCAGAGCAACAAGAAAAAUGCCGGCCGGGCGCGGUGGCUCACGCCUGUAAUCCCAGCACUUUGGGAGGCCGAGGCGGGAGGAUCACGAGGUCAGGAGAUCGAGACCAUCCCGGCUAAAACGGCGAAACCCCGUCUCUACUAAAAAUACAAAAAAUUAGCCGGGCGUAGUGGCGGGCGCCUGUAGUCCCAGCUACUUGGGAGGCUGAGGCAGGAGAAUGG
rnacentral:lncRNA from 10 species